rnacentral:rRNA from 1 species
CCUACGGGUGGCAGCAGUGGGGAAUAUUGGGCAAUGGGCGCAAGCCUGACCCAGCAACGCCGCGUGAAGGAAGAAGGCUUUCGGGUUGUAAACCUCUUUUCUGAGGGACGAAGAAAGUGACGGUACCUCAGGAAUAAGCCACGGCUAACUACGUGCCAGCAGCCGCGGUAAUACGUAGGCGGCAAGCGUUCUCCGGAUUUAGUGGGUGUAAGGGGGGUGUAGGCGGGAAAGCAAGGCAGAUGUGAAAACUCAGGGCUCAACCCUGGGCCUGCAUUUGAAACUGUGUUUCUUGAGUGCUGGAGAGGCAGUCGGAAUUCCUGGUGUAGCGGUGAAAUGCGUAGAUAUAAGGAGGAACACCAGUGGCGAAGGCGGAUUGCUGGACUGUAACUGACGCUGAGGCGCGAAAGCGUGGGGAGCAAACAGGAUUAGAUACCCUUGUAGUC